GACGAACGCUGGCGGCGUGCUUAACACAUGCAAGUCGAACGCUGAAGACCUGGCUUUUGUUGGGUUGGAUGAGUGGCGAACGGGUGAGUAACACGUGAGUAACCUGCCCUCUUCUUUGGGAUAACGCCCGGAAACGGGUGCUAAUACUGGAUAUUCACUGAUCUUCGCAUGGGGGUUGGUGGAAAGGUUUGUUCUGGUGGGGGAUGGGCUCGCGGCCUAUCAGCUUGUUGGUGGGGUGAUGGCCUACCAAGGCUUUGAUGGGUAGCCGGCCUGAGAGGGUGACCGGUCACAUUGGGACUGAGAUACGGCCCAGACUCCUACGGGAGGCAGCAGUGGGGAAUAUUGCACAAUGGGCGAAAGCCUGAUGCAGCGACGCCGCGUGAGGGAUGGAGGCCUUCGGGUUGUAAACCUCUUUCGCUCAUGGUCAAGCCGCAACUGUGGGUUGUGGUGAGGGUAGUGGGUAAAGAAGCGCCGGCUAACUACGUG
rnacentral:rRNA from 1 species